rnacentral:rRNA from 1 species
GACGAACGCUGGCGGCGUGCCUAAUACAUGCAAGUCGAACGCAUUUUCUUUCACCGUAGCUUGCUACACCGAAAGAAAAUGAGUGGCGAACGGGUGAGUAACACGUGGGUAACCUGCCCAUCAGCGGGGGAUAACACUUGGAAACAGGUGCUAAUACCGCAUAAUUCCAUUUACCGCAUGGUAAAUGGAUGAAAGGCGCUUUUGCGUCACUGAUGUAUGGACCCGCGGUGCAUUAGCUAGUUGGUGGGGUAACGGCCUACCAAGGCUGCGAAGCAUAGCCGACCUGAGAGGGUGAUCGGCCACACUGGGAAUGGGACACGGCCCAGAAUCCUACGGGAGGGAGCAGGAGGGAAACUUCGGCAAAGGGAGCAAGUCUGACCGAGCAAAGCCGCGGGAGUGAAGAAGGGUUUCGGAUCGUAAAAAUCUGUUGUUAGAGAAGAACAAGGAUGGGAGGGGAAAGUUCAUCCCUUGACGGUAUCUAACCAGAAAGCCACGGCUAACUACGUG